GCAAAGUACCGUGGGGACUGUAGUAGUCCUCUUCUGAGAACCAGGUAUAUCCACUACAUGAUGUUAUGAUGUGGAAUACCAAUAACCGAAAAUCACAAAACCAUGACAGUUGGCUAGGUGUGCUGGUACAAAAAGGGAAAGGUCAGCUGCUGUAAGUGCCCUGGCAAGAAGGGAUAGGGGGAGCAAGGGGGGAGACCUGUGUUCUGGCAGAAGGAGAUCAUCCAGAGGCUAUGAGGGAGAAUGAUCCAUUGAAGUCAUUCUCCUUAAAUGAGUGUAGUACUUCUCUGCUCAUGGAAAAAAAGGCUAUUGUGUUGAUGUGGGAUGCUGAUGCGGAUGGUGAUUCAGAGUGGGAAGUUGUGGAAGUGCUCUGAAGAAUCCUCUGGAUGAGCCAGUACCUGUAGUGAUGGCAAAGAAGGCCUCGGGAUUUUGCCUCCCUCCACGGAGGUUAGUCUGUGAAAAAUUCAGAUUUGUAAUUGAGUUCUAUUUUGAUCCUUUCUGAAGAUGUCUCAUACAACCUUUUCUCAAAAUUUGAGCUCAUAAACUCCAGCCAAGGCAAUUUUCUUGUCUAAACAGUCUGUUUUUAUGAUUGCAUUCAUUAUAGUUUAAGAAUUGUCAUGUUUGGAGAGAGCAGGAUCCAAAUCUCACGGGCUCCUUCCUUUGGCAUUGUUUAGGAGAGAUGCUUAUGGAAGACCAUAGGAAUGGAGCACCCUCAGAGUGAAGGACCUUGGCAUUCCCUUCUGUUGAUCAGUGCUUCAGAAACUUCUGGAGCUGAAGUGGUGUGAGUGGCGAGCCACAAAGUUGUUGACACUUCAUGUACCCAAGGAGCAGCCAAGGUCCAGAUACACGUGGCCCUGCCUGAACAGAGAAAUAUAGAGAGAGGAAAAAACACUGUGUUUGGUCUGUCAGGCAGACACUGGAUAUUUUGCUACCCUAAUCAUCAGAGUCGCAAGUUUCUUUGGAGCAUCUCCACUGUUUUUAUUGGAGUCACUCAAUGUUUCCACUGGAGAGACUGGUAACAAGAAUCGAGCCUCAGACCUUUUUUCAGUGAGUAAUCCAGAAGCAUCCUCACAUCCUGUCUUUUCACGGAGAGUUUUUUCCCUGUUCUGACCAGAGCUAAGAGGAAAACAGAACUCAAACAGGUGGGAUUACCAUAUCUUUAUCUUGUAAUUGACACAGAGAUCGUGGGCUGUAUUUGACAAAUGAUGUGUAAAGCCAUCGUGCCAUUCGAAGUGAGAUUCAAGUGGAAGUUAGCAAAGAAAGUGUUUGUAUUUAGCAGCAGGAAAAACGUAGUGGAAUGUUUCCAGGUAUUUUGAUGGAAAGAAAAAAACAGAAGGAAAGAAUAAUGGAAAACAUAUAGGCAAAGGGUGAACAAGAGGAACUGAAAAAACUGAUCGUGGUACAGUAACCCAAUGUCAUUUUUAGAUAGGUCACAAGGUAGAGUAACCUCAGACUAAGCAUUCAUAAAGCGCAAAGUGAGAGAACGUGUCUUCUGUGGCCACAGGCCUCAGAUGUGCAAACCCAAGUCAGACCCUGGGCAAGGAGUUCUCCCAGGAAGCUAUUGAGGGCAGCCACAGCAGAAAAUGUGAGGAUUCACUAGGCACCCUCUGCACUCUUGUUCUGCAGUGCCUUUCUGUAUUGUCCCUUCCCUGUCCAUGCUCUAAGCAGAGGUUGCAGCACAGAGCUGAUGGCCAUGCACCUGUCAGCACACAACCCAAUCUCACAGUGGGAUUCUCACAGCUGUGUUGGACAAGCAGGUGGAGUGGACAAGAUGAUGGCUUUCAGUUGGAUGGUGGGAUGGAGAGCAGAGCAGGGACACGAACGUGAGGGGACCCAGCAGAGGCUGUCAGAAGGGAGCAAUUCGUAAAUUCUUUAGAGUAGCACCCCUAACUCAGUCGGGAGAGAAAAAACACUGAAAGGGGUGGGUGGGUGGCUGGCAGUAAAGCCUCUGUCUCCAGCUGAGUCCUCCUUUGUCUGGAAAUAAAAUCAGUCCUUGGGAGCUGAGACAUUUGCAGUGAAGACCCUGAUCAGUCCCCAGCCUGAGUAAUGCAGAAGAUGCAAAACUGAUUCACUGAUUGGAUUAAAAAAGAACAUAUUAUUUAGGAAGCAGCCUUCCUACAUGCUGUCCAUCCUAUGCAGCACUGCUUAUCCUAAAUACUCCAUUCUGAUAAGUCAACAGAUUAAAAAGAAGAAAAGACACUUUAUUAACAAACAAACAAAAAACCCACUUCUGUAGAGAGACAGAUGAAUGUCAUGACAGAUUUAUACAAAUUUUAAAGCCUGAACAUUAUCUUCCAAGGGAAAAAAUCUUCUAAAUACAAAUUCAAAACAAAAAAUGGCAGAGGAGAAUCUCUGACAACGAAUUGCACAGAAUCACUUAUUAGGCCUCUGUAAGUGAUCAUUUACAUGAAACUUGCAUUUCAUCCAGUAUUCAGCUCUUCCCUUUUAUCUUCUGGUUCCAUGUGUUUGUGGGGAGCAGUGGUCCCUCAUCCUGUCUCAUCUCCCUGCCUGUAUUGAGACAGUAGUAUGGCCCUUUUGGGUCGAAACACAGGGGAGCAGUCUGUAGGAUACAAUGUUGUCUGGGGUGCACAGAAAUACUGGCUUCAUUACACUGCAUGGGUGUAACUUUUUCAGACGUUAGCAGUGGCAUGUGGGCUAAAUACAUAAAUUAUUUACGUGCACUGCUAUUACUAAAGCACCUAAGCAAAGUAAUUCAGAACUAGUCCCAUGAAUCUGUGGCAUCACUGAAGUUAUUACACUGUAAAUUCAGCUUCAUAUCCUGAAUUUCUGCUGAGAUGUUGCACGCCUGGCAUGUAAAGCCGUCUCUUGCCCUGCUCCAAGGAGUGGCCUGCUCAGGGAAGUUGGCCUUCCAGUUCUCUCCCUUCUCACGAGAACGUGGGUCAUUGCUUCUCCCAGCCAUGCUGACACCUCAUGACAUGUAGGGGCUGUGGGCAGAGGUAUAAGCCUUGCUUUGGAGAUCUCCAAAAAUCCAAGUGCUUCUUUCUACAUGUAUCCCCGCAUGGUGCAUGCCCAGCUGCCCUGCCAGUCUGCAGCUCUGAUUUCAGUGAGUGACAAGCAAAGGCAUUUCAAAUUGAAAGGAGGUAUUUAAAUACUGUCAAGAACAGCAGAUAAAAUGACCUCAAACAAUCCCACAUAAAGUCCUUUGUUAUUUUCAAAGCACUUUCCCAGCUUGACACCUUUGCUUUUUCAUAUCCAAUAUAAAAUUCAAAAUGUUUUAUUCCAAUGCAGUCCAUGAAUAUAUAAUAUAAAUAUAUCAAACCUCACACUGCCUUUUUUGUGCUGCUGCUUUGAAAAAGGACCUGAAGUAAACUCAGCAUAAAGAUCAAGAAAAUUAUUUAGACAAUCCCACUUCUCAAAUUUUUGUUCCCCUUUGUCUUGCUCUCGUUGAGAACAACUUCUCUCCAGCAGGCGUGCAUACGGGAGGAAGGAGCUGCCUGGAUCCAGAGGGUUCUGUGGACUACAGCACAGAGGUGCCUGCAGAUACGUUUGCUGAGCCAUUUCAGGAACAAAUUUUGACAUUCUUCAUCUUAAAACUCCACUGGAGGUCAUGAAGAGUUUGAAAUCUAGAAGGAUCCAGACAUGGAGCUCCGCGCCUGGUUCACACAGAUAGGAUGAACUUGGAAAAAGACUUCAUGAAGCACGUGCCCUUUCAGCCAGGACACCGCCCUGUGAUAAGCCCUAUGUAUCAGUGAAACCGUGCUCCAUGAACGUCUGUGCGAAGGUUCAGAGCCCUAAUUUGAAUUUUUGGGUUUGUUUGUGUUUCAAAAGCAAAGCCACUGAACUGCAUCUUGAAAAACAUACUCCAGCACAGGUUUCCUCCAAACACAGCCAAGGUUUGAUCAAAAGGUUGUCAGGUUUGCGGCCCUUCUGACAAACCUGAUGAAUGUUUGCACUUGCAAAGUAAACCCCAAACCAAGGGAAUUUGCAUGGGCUUGCCAUGGAUAUUUCUUUUUUCCAGUUCUUGCCAAAAUCCCAUCUCUGCCCUGGGACUGGGCUUUGGCAGCCGGCAUUCUGCUAUUUGUAUUGAUAUACCUGCCAGCAGGCACAAAAACCAAAUACCUACACCCAGACAAAAUAUCUGGCUGUGUUUGUAAAGCCCCAAAUAAGAAGCUACGUUGUGUUUCGGUUCGAUGGCAGUGCCCGUCUGUAUGGAUCAGGCCGCGUGGCGUUCACUUGUCCAAAACACUGAGUUAAUCCCUUCUGCAUGGAGAAAUACAUUUUAAUUAUGGAGCAAUAAAUACAGUGUCUCUUUUUGCUGGGCGCGUUUUCUAUCAGCAGACAAAAGAUGACAUUUGUUUCGCUGAUAGCCUGAUGUUCCCCCACCGCCGCUGCUGAAUUUCCCUUGCCCAAGGAAAUUGAAAGGAUCAGAGCACAUCUGAUGUUCCAUUAAUUUAAAGCGGCUGCCAGGACUUGCAUAUUGUAGCAGCUUUAAAGUGAUUGAAUUUGGAUUAUUUCAAACUCUGCAAAGUCCUGCCUCGCCCGGCUGAGGCAUAUCGAGUGACAACAUAAAAUAUGAGCCCGGCUGAGGGAUAUCUGCGAGCACACACGUUCUCCCUGCGCACGCAGCCCUGCAACAGGCGGAUUGGAGGCGAUGGAACACGCAGCAUUGGGACUGUUUUGGUUGCUCAGUGGCAGCAGCGCAGCGAGGUGGGGACACCUGGUGUCCAGCACUGAGGGGGCAUGGGCCGGGGCUGCGCCAGGUGCAGUGCCUUUGGGACCAGCAGCCACGCAGCGCCGCGUGUACCUUGCAAAGGGAAUAGGGGAGUUCAGCUCCAAAAGAAACGUUGGGGCUGCCAAGGCCCAAUUAGACAUAAACCCACAGUAUUAUCGCCAUCCAUCACUGCCCUGCUUUCAGUGACCAUGCAGAAGGAGCGGCUUCCAAGUGUUGGGGUGGUUGUUGCUGUCAGAGCGGUGGGGCUCCCAAAUGCAGGGCAGAACUUGGGCUCGGCGCGCUUUGGUAGAGCCCUGCCCAAAAAACCUGAAAAAUCAUCUGAAUGAAUCACAAAACGUAUGUUAUGUUUAGCUGUAAAAGCCAUGGAGUAUGUGCAGCGCUCCAUUAUGGGGACUGCUCGGCUUUUCAUGCAUUCCUAAAUUACCAUGUAAUCUAAAACCUUGUUUUCAGCUGCUCUAUAUUGGAAAGUCCCUUGCAAUAAUCAAGAUGAUUACAGACUGGUGCGGAGAACAAAACGUGUUUGUGUUAUUGCAACCACAAAUGCAGUUUAUCAGAAAUUUUACCUUUUCGAGGGAAAAAUAAAGAUAAUAAUAAACUCUUUUUCCCUUGCUGGAAAUAUUUUAAGCGUGGAAUUAAUUUUGGCUGCUCUGCAACUUAAAAGCACAUGGAUACUCGGUGUAAAAAUAUGCUCCUUUCCUGCAGGGACUUGACUCUAAUUGGUGUGCCAAAACUAUCUCACAGAGAUUUCAUUGUCUUAUCUACUUACAUCAUCUUAAUGCGAUUUUAUUUUACUUUGUCAAAGUCAUAUUAAUGUAAAUGUGUUCUUGAUAGCAAACAGAGUUCUUUUUUAUGCUAAACGGGAUUCAGCUGCCUCCAAUAAAACAGCUUGCAAUCCAUUAGGCUAUAACUGUAAUAUAGUUAUUUUGUUUCUCAAAUAAAGACUGUGUCAGAAAGCUGUA